rnacentral:rRNA from 1 species
UGGGGAAUAUUGCACAAUGGGCGCAAGCCUGAUGCAGCCAUGCCGCGUGUAUGAAGAAGGCCUUCGGGUUGUAGAGUACUUUCAGCGGGGAGGAAGGCGAUAAGGUUAAUAACCUUGUCGAUUGACGUUACCCGCAGAAGAAGCACCGGCUAACUCCGUGCCAGCAGCCGCGGUAAUACGGAGGGUGCAAGCGUUAAUCGGAAUUACUGGGCGUAAAGCGCACGCAGGCGGUCUGUCAAGUCGGAUGUGAAAUCCCCGGGCUCAACCUGGGAACUGCAUUCGAAACUGGCAGGCUAGAGUCUUGUAGAGGGGGGUAGAAUUCCAGGUGUAGCGGUGAAAUGCGUAGAGAUCUGGAGGAAUACCGGUGGCGAAGGCGGCCCCCUGGACAAAGACUGACGCUCAGGUGCGAAAGCGUGGGGAGCAAACA